ACCCUGAAAUGGUGACACAGACUUCUGCUUGUGAUUUGUAGCUGGGACUCGGAGCCCCAGGUUUGGCUUCCAGAAUCUCUGAAUUGACAGGUUCAAAAGCAUCAAUUGUACAAGUGCCAGCUGGAGAAGACCUUGCCUGAAUGCAGUUUGCUGGUAAUGAGAUCCAUCAGAGAUGACAUGAGGACAUGGUCUAUCCUGGUUUGGGUGAACAGACUGGCUUACUGAGCUAGUAAGCAUCCAAGGAGAAUUUUCAUGGCUGAGAUACUCUACCAGUGACAAAUUUGCUGAAGCAUGGAGACGAGAUUGGGAAAUUACAGCAUGCUCCUUGGAUUUCCAAAGGGACAAUACUGAGUACGGACAUUCCUUCUCACACACACGUACGUUGGAGUGCACACACAUGAGAUGGAGAUCAAUCUUAACCCCCAAAGGUCCCUUUGUCUCACUGAAGUGCUUAUUAAAUGAAUCUGUGUUUCCAC